rnacentral:rRNA from 1 species
AGUAGUUUAAGGGCCGCGGUAUUAUGACCGUGCAAAGGUAGCAUAAUCAUUAGGUUUUUAAAUGAGAUCUCGUAUGAAUGGUUUGACAAAGGAAAAGCUGUCUUUAAGUUAGUAUUUGAAUUUAACUUUUAAGUGAGAAGGCUUAAAUAUUUUAGUAGGACGAUAAGACCCUAUAAAGCAUUUUGUUGGGGAGACAUGAGUAAAAAUUAUUAACUGCUCAAAAAAUAAACAUUUAUUGAUGGAUAGAUCCUAGAUAUAGAUUUUAAGAUUAAGUUACUUUAGGGAUAACAGUGUAAUUUUUUUUGAGAGUCCAUAUCGAAAAAAAAGUUUGCAACCUCGAUGUUGAAUUAAAUUGUCUAUAUAAUGUAGCUGUUAUAUAAGAAGGUCUGUUCGACCUUUAAUUUUUU